rnacentral:rRNA from 1 species
CAGUCGCCACGGUAAUACGGAGGGUGCAAGCGUUAAUCGGAAUUACUGGGCGUAAAGCGCACGCAGGCGGUUUGUUAAGUCAGAUGUGAAAUCCCCGAGCUUAACUUGGGAACUGCAUUUGAAACUGGCAAGCUAGAGUCUUGUAGAGGGGGGUAGAAUUCCAGGUGUAGCGGUGAAAUGCGUAGAGAUCUGGAGGAAUACCGGUGGCGAAGGCGGCCCCCUGGACAAAGACUGACGCUCAGGUGCGAAAGCGUGGGGAGCAAACAGGAUUAGAUACCCCUGUAGUCCCUGUCUCUUAUAA